rnacentral:rRNA from 1 species
GUGGGGAAUAUUGGACAAUGGGCGAAAGCCUGAUCCAGCCAUGCCGCGUGUGUGAAGAAGGUCUUCGGGUUGUAAAGCUCUUUAGCCGAUGAUUAUAAUGACUGUAGUCGGAAAAUAAGCCCCGGCUAACUUCGUGCCAGCAGCCGCGGUAAUACGAAGGGGGCGAGCGUUAUUCGGAAUCACUGGGCGUAAAGCGUGCGUAGGCGGCUUUGCAAGUUGGGAGUGAAAGCCCAGGGCUCAACCCUGGAAUUGCGCUCAAAACUGCAAGGCUCGAAUUCGGGAGAGGAUAGCGGAAUUGUCAGUGUAGCAGUGAAAUGCGUAGAUAUUGACAGGAACACCAGUGGCGUAAGCGGCUAUCUGGACCGAUAUUGACGCUGAGGCACGAAAGCGUGGGGAUCAAACAGGAUUAGAAACCCCAGUAGUCC